UACGGGGGGGGCAAGCGUCGUUCGGAAUUACUGGGCGUAAAGGGCUCGUAGGCGGCCAACUAAGUCAGACGUGAAAUCCCUCGGCUUAACCGGGGAACUGCGUCUGAUACUGGAUGGCUUGAGUGUGGGAGAGGAAUGCGGAAUUCCAGGUGUAGCGGUGAAAUGCGUAGAUAUCUGGAGGAACACCGGUGGCGAAGGCGGCAUUCUGGACCAUUACUGACGCUGAGGAGCGAAAGCCAGGGGAGCAAACGGG
rnacentral:rRNA from 1 species